CUUUUGUGCUUUCUUGCACUUUAAAAGUGCUUCUGUGUAAAACUCUGCAAAGAAGAAUUGAGGAUUUAAUUCUUCAGAAGAAAUUUCAGUGAACUGUUGCUGUAUUAGGAACAAGUUCCAAGGACCUUGUGAAGUGCUAUGAUCAGCUGAAUUCACAUAUUAAUCUCCCCAGAAGUGCGAAAAGAAGAGGGAGGACAGUUAAAUGGUGUGCCCUCCUCAAGAUGGACUGUGUUUGUUCCUGUCAGGCAGCUGGAGGGAGAGGAAGGAUUCCUCUUAGCAUUCCCAUUGGUAAAAAUUGGAUCUCGCUCUGAACAUAAGGAUCUGGAUCGCAUCCAUUAGCUGGGCUAAGAGCAGUGCCACGUCGAAGACCAUGUAACAGCCAGGGAAUUGCAGAUGCCAGGCUCAGGAUUGAUGAAUGCCUGUCACUGUGUAGGAACAAGAUUGCAGAACUUUUGAGACCUGUUCACUGGUGGCAAUAGCUGGCUUCACCAUCACGGGAACCAGCAGAAGGCCCCUUGGCCCUGGUGGGACCUCCCUUCUACCCGAGCAUGGGAUGCACCGGGCGCCUCUUGCAGGUGGGACUUGGUCUGACCCCUCAAAGGACAAUAAGCAAGAAUCCU